AUCAGAGAGAGAGAGACACCAGGACAGCAAACAGGUGAGGACAGAGACAGAGGGAAAGAUGUUUACAGUUGGUGACCCUUGAGUUCAUUUUAUUCUUUAUGGGCUGAUUCUGAUUUUUUUAUUCACCUAUAUAUUUAUUUAUAUAAUUUAUGCAUAUAUAUUAAUAGUGUCAUCUUUAUUUCUUUCUCUCUCUUUCUCAUAAGAAGAGGAGAAUUGUUCACAGAGACAGGACAUCAAACAAGCAAACUACAGCACAGAAACAGAAUGUCGACAACGGCUGCGACCCAAGCCAAUGAAAGAUCUGUAUCUGAGGCCAGUCGGGACACAGUUUGCACCACAGGACUUUUAAUAGGUAUGAGUUUAGUAUCACGAUUCUGAUUGGUUAGAGGUCCUUUUUACUACUCUGAUUAGCUUAAUAACUGGAGAAGUGAUGUUUCAUUGCUUUGCUCGAUGGAGAAUAAUUCUGAUUUGAUUUUAAAGCAAUAUAUCACCCAGCAAUGAAAAUUCUGUCAUCAUUUAUUCACUAUC
ensembl:lncRNA